GUGCUCGCUUUGGCAGCACAUAUACUAAAAUUGGAACGGUACAGAGAAGAUUAGCAUAGAUGCGCAAAGAUGACACGAAAAUUCGAGAAAAGUUCCGUAUUUUA